rnacentral:rRNA from 1 species
AUGGGGUCAGCUUUGAGCCCUUAUCUUUUUGCCUUGGUGAUGGAUGAGGUCACAAGGGAUAUACAAGGAGAUAUCCCAUGGUGUAUGCUCUUUGCAGAUGAUGUGGUGCUAGUUGACGAUAGUCGGACUGGGGUCAAUAGGAAGUUAGAGUUAUGGAGACAAACCUUGGAAUCAAAAGGUUUUAGGCUUAGUAGAACUAAAACUGAGUACAUGAGGUGCGGUUUCAGUACUACUAGGCGCGAGGAGGAGGUUAGCCUGGGUGGACAGGUGGUGCCUCAAAAGGACACCUUUCGAGAUUUGGGGUCAAUGUUGUUGAAGGAUGGAGAUAUUGAUGAAGAUGUGAAUCAUCGCAUCAAAGCCGGAUGGAUGAAGUGGCGCCAGGCUUCUGGCAUUCUCUGUGACGAGUGCCACAAAAGCUAA